UUGCACUCUCUGCUCCUUCCUCAAAUAAGGAGUCUGAUAUUCCAGCAACGUGCUAAAAUAAUGCAGGAGACAUCAGGGCCAUCUGUCUCAGAGGAGCAGACUGAAAGGUAGUAUACGUCUCCAACAUGA